AUUCCUCUCCAAUUCUUUCUUUUUUAAUAUUGGACAGUUCGUUUAAACUCAACGAAACUGAAGAGAAUUGAGGAGUUCCCUUCAAGGUGUAGACGGUAACUUUAGGAGAUACUCUUGUAUCUUGACUGACGUCGAUGAAACCAGAUUAGUUCUAGUCAAGGCGCAAAAAUACUUGAUAUCGCUUUUACACGAAGAGAAAAAACUUUGCAGACAACAAAGAGGGUUGAAUUAAGGAUUUAAUCAAGUACUUUUUUUUUCAAUUUUCUAUUACACGAUAUUAUACAAUAUUUAUGAAAAAGAUAAUGACAAUAAAGAGAAAAUAGUGUAGAUGCUUUAUACAAAUCUUUUGAAUGAUUAGAAAGAUAAUUUUUGGAAAGGAUAUAAAUUGAAAGCAAUUUGAGUAAUAGAAUAGAAGUGAUAUUGUCGUUUAACAGGUUGGCUUGUAAAUACCGUUGUUCUAUCUCCAAUGCAUCAAGUACUGAAUUUGUAAAUAGGUAUCCACGUACCAUUAUUCUCUAUUCCCGGUAUAUAUUGCACGUAUGCAUUCCAGAUUCUCCAUUUUUCAAUUCUCUCUAUCCCACACAAAAAUCGAUCAAUCAUCCCCAAGAGUGGUGGAAACUACACUACAUCUAGGAUACAUUCACACCGAUUCACCUAAAAAUUCCGGGAGAGUCGGACGUAAAUCUCCAGGGAGGGCGCCAUUAAAAAUUUAGAUCCAACCCUGAAGGACACAAUUCUCGCCAUCGUUUCCCGCAGCCACUACUGGAAAACUGGAACUGAUUCUGUUGAUUUAUGCGGCUAAUAUAGCCAUUAGAAGAGAUUUAUCACGUCGAAAGAGGCGCAUGGCGAACGUAUUAAUAUUUACGUUUCUACCAGCUUGAUAUCUAACACGGUCGUACACUCACACUGAGCCCAUAUAUAUAUAUAUAUGUAUGUGUGUGUAUGAUACAUACUGCUUUCAAUGACAUACGAUGUGAAUUAUUAUUGUAAAAUGAUUUUUAUUGCUAAAUUUUAUUAUGGUUGUGCAAACUAUUCUCAAAAUUUUAUUGUUAUUUGAAAAUUUGUUGGAUGUGCAUGAAAUUAUUCAAUUUGACAAUAAUACUUUUGUAAUUUAUUUAUAUAGAAUAUCAAUAUUUUUUUUUGGAGGAUACAUAUGAAAGAUUGAUUCUAGAAGCCAAAACAAAUACAAAAACAAAUAUAAAAUAAUUCAUAUAUCAUUAUGAUAUUUAACUGAAACAGAUCUCUGUUUAAAUUCCACAUUUUCAAUUACUUUGAAUUUGAAAGAAAGAUAAUAAUAUAAAAUAUUUUUUUUUGUCACAUUGAAAAAACUAUUGAUAUUCCACACCACAAUGGAAAUUUGAUUUAGAAAGAUGUAGGUAAUAAAAUAUUUUUAACACGAUAUUAUUAAAUAUUUUUAAUAGAAAAGAACAGAUUUAACAUUCUGUAUUAAUGAGAACUUCUUCAUUUUGGAAUUAGCAUAUUUAAUAAUUACAAAUAAAAAUUGAACAUUUGAAAUUAUUAAAACUAGUAAAUUAUUUAUUCACCAAUAAUUCCUUUUUUCGAUAAUUCCAUUACAAUUAAAAGAAUAUUCACAUACCUAUAAAGUGUACUAAUACAAAAACACAUCCUGUGACAGAGCAAAUAUAGCUGGGGUCAAGUGGUGAAAACGAAGGGCGGGAAUAGACGUGGAAAAGUAAGGAAAAUAAACGAAUGGGGGAAGAAAAAGGAGGACACAAAGA